GCUAGAGCUUGCCUAUAGCAUAAGGUGUCAUCAUUACACAUUCCACAUGCUAAUGCAAACAGUUGUGUGGUGAGCAAUCAAGGAAACCUGCGUGGGUUUGAGUUAGUCUAUGCGCCUUCAUGCUUAAUAUGUAGUCGCUUGGUCUCGAGGAAUUCCCUCUCUAUGGUCCCCUAUGUGAGUUGUUGGAAGGGAUGUGCAGGGCUCGGUUACAUACAGACAGUUGUGGGAGUUCAUCUGAGUUAUGAGAAAUUAGUGAAAAAAAUAAAGAAAAAGAAAAAUAAUAGAAAAAAUAAAUAAAAAUAAAAGAGGUGAUG